rnacentral:rRNA from 1 species
UACGAAGGGGGCUAGUGUUGCUCGGAAUCACUGGGCGUAAAGCGCACGUAGGCGGAUCUUUAAGUCAGGGGUGAAAUCCUGGAGCUCAACUCCAGAACUGCCUUUGAUACUGGGGAUCUCGAGUCCGGGAGAGGUGAGUGGAACUGCGAGUGUAGAGGUGAAAUUCGUAGAUAUUCGCAAGAACACCAGUGGCGAAGGCGGCUCACUGGCCCGGUACUGACGCUGGAGGCACGAAAGCGUGGGGAGCAAACAGGG